rnacentral:rRNA from 1 species
UACGUAGGGAGCGAGCGUUGUCCGGAUUCAUUGGGCGUAAAGAGCUCGUAGGCGGCUUGGUAAGUCGGAUGUGAAACCUCCAGGCUCAACCUGGAGUCGCCAUCCGAUACUGCUAUGGCUAGAGUCCGGUAGGGGCCCACGGAAUUCCUGGUGUAGCGGUGGAAUGCGCAGAUAUCAGGAGGAACACCGGUGGCGAAGGCGGGUCUCUGGGCAGUAACUGACGCUGAGGAGCGAAAGCGUGGGGAGCGAACAGG